UUUCACUCUCCAACAAACAAUGCAAAAGUCAAUUUAAUUCAUACAAUGUCUAACAAUUAUAAAUGAAAAUGCGGAAGCACGAAGAUCACUAAGGUCUUUUCCGGUUGUAGCUUGGUCAGAUUUACAAACAAGGGUCAUAUCUAAGGCCAUUGAAAACGAACUUGCCGAUGCAAAAGAGACAUUCAAUGUACAAGCUAUUCACACAUCUCAACUUCUUUCCAUUUGUUUCUCAUUUGAAACCUUCACAACUCUUAUUUCACAACUCAAUUUUGUUUUUCACUAUUUUUCUUCCAAGCAAGCAUUCAUUUUCAUUUUCUCUAUUUUUUUUUCACAUCUUAUUCACAAAACAGAUAAUUCUCUUUUCUAAUAUAUAUAUUUUUU
rnacentral:lncRNA from 1 species